UCGAUCGCGUAGAGUGAACGCUGGCGGUAGGCCUAACAUGCAAGUCCAGAACGGCAACUGCAGAGCUUGCUCUCUGGGUGGCAGUGGCGGACGGGUGAGGAAUACAUCGGAAUCUACUCUGUCGUGGGGGAUAACGUAGGGGAAACUUACGCUAAUACCGCAUACGACCUACGGGUGAAAGCUCAGAGGACCUUCGGGCCUUGCGCGAUUGAAUGAGCCGAUGUCGGAUUAGCUAGUUGGCGGGGUAAAGGCCCACCAAGGCGACGAUCUGUAGCUAAUUGCGAGGAGGAUGAUCAGCCACACUGGAACUGAGACACGGUCAGACUCCUACGGGGGGCAGCAGUGGGGAAUAUUGGACAGUGGGCGCAAGCCUGAUCAGCCAUACCGCGUGGGUGAAGAGGGCCUUCCCGGGUUGUAAAGCCCUUUUGUUGGGAAAGAAAUCCAGCUGGCUAUGCCGGUUGGGAUGACGGUACCCAAAGAAUAAGCACCGGCUAACUUCGUGCCAACAGCCGCGGUAAUACGAAGGUGCGAGCGUUAAUCGGAAUUACUGGGCGUAAAGCGUGCGCAGGCGGUUGCCGUAAAGGGCAGAUGUGAAAUCCCCGGGCUCAACCUGGGAACUGCAUUUGUGACUGCAUGGCUAGAGUACGGUAGAGGGGAUGGAAUUCCGCGUGCUGGCAGUGAAAUGCGUAGAUAUGCGGAGGAGCACCGAUGGCGAAGGCAAUCACCUGGACCUGUACUGACGCUCAUGCACGAAAGCGUGGGGAGCAGCUGGGGAUUAGAUACCCUGGUAGUCCACGCCCUAAACGAUGCGAACUGGAUGUUGGGUGCAAUUUGGCACGCAGUAUCGAAACUAACGCGUUAAGUUCGCCGCCUGGGGAGUACGGUCGCAAGACUGAAACUCAAAGAAAUUGACAGGAGCCCCGCACAAGCGGUGGAUGAUGUGGAUUAAUUCGAUGCAACGCGAAAAACCUUACCUACCCGCCAACAUGUCUGGAAUGCCGAAGAAUUUGGCAGUGCUCGCAGAGAACCGGAACACAGGUGCUGCAUGGCUGUCGUCGGCUCGUGUCGUGGGAUGUUGGGUUAAGUCCCGCAACGAGCGCAACCAUAUCAUUGGUUGCUACAAUUCACUCUAAUGAGACUGCCGGUGACAAACCGGAGGAAGGUGGGGAUGACGUCAGUCUGCUCAGCCCUUAUGGGUAGGGCUUCACGUCAUACAAUGGUCGGGACAGAGGGUCGCCAACCCGAGGGAGCCAAUCCCAGAAACCCGAUCGUAGUCCGGAUCGCAGUCUGCAACUCGACUGCGUGAAGUCGGAAUCGCUAGUAAUCGCGGAUCAGCAUGUCGCGGUGAAUACGUUCCCGGGUCUUGUACACACCGCCCGUCACACCAUGGGAGUGGGUUUUACCAGAAGUAGUUAGCCCUAACCGCAAGAGGGGCGAUUGCAAAUAGGAUUCAUGACUGGGGUGAAGUCGUAACAAGGUAA
rnacentral:rRNA from 1 species